UAGGGAAUCUUCGGCAAUGGACGGAAGUCUGACCGAGCAACGCCGCGUGAGUGAAGAAGGUUUUCGGAUCGUAAAGCUCUGUUGUAAGAGAAGAACGAGUGUGAGAGUGGAAAGUUCACACUGUGACGGUAUCUUACCAGAAAGGGACGGCUAACUACGUGCCAGCAGCCGCGGUAAUACGUAGGUCCCGAGCGUUGUCCGGAUUUAUUGGGCGUAAAGCGAGCGCAGGCGGUUAGAUAAGUCUGAAGUUAAAGGCUGUGGCUUAACCAUAGUACGCUUUGGAAACUGUUUAACUUGAGUGCAAGAGGGGAGAGUGGAAUUCCAUGUGUAGCGGUGAAAUGCGUAGAUAUAUGGAGGAACACCGGUGGCGAAAGCGGCUCUCUGGCUUGUAACUGACGCUGAGGCUCGAAAGCGUGGGGAGCAAACAGGAUUAGAUACCCUGGUAGUCCACGCCGUAAACGAUGAGUGCUAGGUGUUAGACCCUUUCCGGGGUUUAGUGCCGCAGCUAACGCAUUAAGCACUCCGCCUGGGGCCUCCGNNNNAAGGUUG
rnacentral:rRNA from 1 species